UUCAGGCAGGUACUAGCUAACAACGGCGAGUGAAGCGGCAAAAGCUCAAAUUUGAAAUCUGGCACCUUCGGUGUCCGAGUUGUAAUUUGAAGAAGGUAACUUUGGAGUUGGCUCUUGUCUAUGUUCCUUGGAACAGGACGUCACAGAGGGUGAGAAUCCCGUGCGAUGAGAUGCCCAAUUCUAUGUAAAGUGCUUUCGAAGAGUCGAGUUGUUUGGGAAUGCAGCUCUAAGUGGGUGGUAAAUUCCAUCUAAAGCUAAAUAUUGGCGAGAGACCGAUAGCGAACAAGUACAGUGAUGGAAAGAUGAAAAGAACUUUGAAAAGAGAGUGAAAAAGUACGUGAAAUUGUUGAAAGGGAAGGGCUUGAGAUCAGACUUGGUAUUUUGCGAUCCUUUCCUUCUUGGUUGGGUUCCUCGCAGCUUACUGGGCCAGCAUCGGUUUGGAUGGUAGGAUAAUGACUAAGGAAUGUGGCUCUACUUCGGUGGAGUGUUAUAGCCUUGGUUGAUACUGCCUGUCUAGACCGAGGACUGCGUCUUUUGACUAGGAUGUUGGCAUAAUGAUCUUAAGCCACCCGUCUUAAAAAAACGGAACAAAAAAAAAAAACUAAAAAAAAAAAAAAGGGGGAGGGGGGGUUUUUUUUUUUUGGGUUAAUCCCAUCGUUGAGAAGAGGGUAAGAACACU
rnacentral:rRNA from 1 species